UCCCCUACUCGCAGCUGCAGCACCCACCUUCGCGCUCUCCACCACCCGGUCGCCGUCCGGCCUUUGCCGUUUCUCCGCCUCCGAGUACCUGUCUUCUUAUCAUUACUAUUAUCCACCCAUCAUUUAAUUAAUCCCUUCUGUUGACGUGUAUCGGCUACUCCACCAUUCACUCGUGGAUCCCCCUAGCCCUCAGCCUCUUUUUCGCCGGCUACCCUCCCCUCCAAUGCGCUAUUCGCAUCGCGAUCGGUGUUUUCCCAAAACCACCUGAUCAAAUUCGCCCAUCUCCUGUACUUCCGCACCGCAGCGUGGAGACAUGGUGGUCCCACCUUCAACGGGAGCAACAACUGCCCAGCAGCAGUCCCAGCAAUUAGCCACCCGCUCCCGCGCCUCGAACUCGAACCACUUCCACCAAUCUUACAAUGCCAAUGUUCCUCUGAGUGCUCGAAGGGCUGCGCCGCUCGACCUCUCCACGGUCGAGCGUCGUGGCCACUCUACCGCGAGUAGAGAACCAGUCAAGCGUGUGCGACCUCAUGGCUUACAAGAAGCUCCAACUUUUCGUCCCACCGAAGCAGAGUUCAAAGACCCAUUCGAAUAUAUCCGCAAAAUCUUCCCUGAAGGAAAGAAAUAUGGAAUUUGCAAGAUUGUCCCUCCCGACAACUGGGCUCCGCCGUUUGCUAUCGA
rnacentral:sRNA from 2 species